rnacentral:piRNA from 1 species
UAAAAAGUUCUAUGAAGAGCACUGAGAGCA